UACGGAGGUGGCAAGCGUUGCUCGGAAUCACUGGGCGUAAAGGGCGCGUAGGCGGGGAGGUAAGUCGGGUGUGAAAUCCCUCGGCCCAACCGAGGAACUGCGCCCGAGACUGCUUCUCUUGAGUCCCGGAGAGGAAGAUGGAAUUCCCGGUGUAGCGGUGAAAUGUGUAGAGAUCGGGAGGAACACCGGUGGCGAAGGCGGUCUUCUGGACGGUGACUGACGCUGAGGCGCGGAAGCGUGGGGAGCAAACGGG
rnacentral:rRNA from 1 species